UGAGGAAUAUUGCGCAAUGGAGGAAACUCUGACGCAGCAACGCCGCGUGGGGGAUGAAGUUCUAUGGGGCGUAAACCCCUGUAAGUAGGGACGAAAGGUAGAUAUUCAAAUAGGGUAUUUAUUUGACGGUACCUGCAGAGUAAGCUCCGGCUAACUCCGUGCCAGCAGCCGCGGUAAUACGGGGGGAGCAAGCGUUGUCCGGAUUUACUGGGCGUAAAGGGCGUGUAGGCGGCUUAAUAAGUCAGAUGUUAAAGCCCCCGGCUUAACCGGGGAUCGUCAUUUGAAACUGUUAGGCUUGAGUGCGAGAGAGGGUAGUGGAAUUCCCAGUGUAGCGGUGAAAUGCGUAGAUAUCGGGAGGAACAUCAGUGGCGAAGGCGGCUACCUGGACUAACACUGACACUGAGGCACGAAAGCGUGGGGAGCAAACAGGAUUAGAUACCCUGGUAGUCCACGCUGUAAACGAUGGGUACUAGACGUUGGGAAGUUUAAUCUUCUUAGUGUCGCAGCUAACGCAUUAAGUACCCCGCCUGGGGAGUACGGCCGCAAGGUUA
rnacentral:rRNA from 1 species